rnacentral:rRNA from 1 species
AGUGAACGCUGGCGGUAGGCCUAACACAUGCAAGUCGAACGGCAGCACAGUAAGAGUGUGCUCUUACGGGUGGCGAGUGGGGGACGGGUGAGGAAUACAUCGGAAUCUAGUUUUUCGUGGGGGAUAACGUAGGGAAACUUACGCUAAUAUCGCAGAUGAACUACGGGUGAAAGCAGGGGAUCUUCGGACCUUGCGCGAUUGAAUGAGCCGAUGUCGGAUUAGCUGGUUGGGAGGGUAAUUGCCCACGCAGGCGACGAUCCGUAGCUUGUCUGAGAGGAUGAUCGGCCACACUGGAACGUGAACGCGGACCAGGCUCCUGAGAGAGGCAGCAGUGGGGAAUAUUAGACAUCGGGGGCAAACCUGGUCCAACCGUACCGCGUGGGAUAAAGAGGCCUUCGGGUUGUAAAGCCCUUUUGUUGGGAGAGAAACGCAGCAGGUUAAUACCCCGCUGUUGUGACGGUACCCAAAGAAUAAGCACCGGCUAACUACGUG